CGGUUUUAAACCAAGCAAAGGCAUUCUCGUUUAAGAAUAAAGAACAAACACCAAGCUUAUUAGAUAUGACAAUCAAAUGCUACCAAAAUAAAGUCCAGAGAUUGAAUGAUGAACAAGGAAUUUAUUACCGAACCUUUUCAGAAGCCAAACUUCUUCAAGCAGAUUUUAUUAGCAAGCAUUUCAGUGAUACUACAACAGCUGAAAUCAAAGCCGAGUAGUCUCCAACGGAGAAAAUCCCACCAGAAAUCGAAUGAAAACGCAGCGGCAUCGGAACCUCGAACGCUUUACGGGUGAGCUGGUGCUUUUUUUAUAGCAGGUUUUAUGGAUGUAUUUCACUGGGUUUUGACGGCUUUGUCGGCCAUAAUUUAGACUAGUAUUUAGCUGAAGUUUAUGGGGGUUGAAGGGUUAUGGAGAUCAGAGUAAUUAGUGUUCAAGCAUUGAAGAAGAUCAAGCUUUCUGCUGGGGGAAGGGGAUGUGAAGGAGACGACGUGGGGGUGGGGGUCCCGUUCAGCGCAACCUUCAGAAUUUCUAGCUUCUUUUUU
rnacentral:lncRNA from 1 species